rnacentral:lncRNA from 1 species
UCCCAUAAAAACUAGACAGAAGCAUUCUUAGAAACAUGUUUGUGAUGUGUGUACUCAACUAACAGAGUCGAACCAUUCUUUUGAUAGAGCAGUUUUGAAACACUCUUUUUGUGCAGAGCACCGCCCCAGGCGCUGGGAGGCACACAGCACCACCACAGGCCCAGUCUCCACUCCCCAGCUGUGAAAGGAUCACUGACUGAACCCCCAAGGUAGCCCACCAGGCCUCCAUAGAGCUGCCCAGCAUGGCCAUGGCCAGUACCAAGAGUCGGUGGGAGACGGGUGAGGUACAGGCUCAGUCUGCGGCCAAGACUCCGUCCUGCAAGAUGAAGGUAAUG